GAACGUGCGAAACGUAAUGUGAAUUGCAGAAUUCAGUGAAUCAUCGAAUCUUUGAACGCAUCUUGCGCUCCUUGGCAUUCCGAGGAGCAUGCCUGUUUGAGUGUCGUGAAGUACUCAAUUUCAAAUAUUUUUUGUUUGAAAAUUGGAUUUGAAUGGUGUUGUGGGGUCACACACAACUCAUUCUAAAUGCAUUAGCGGUCUGAUCUUGAUCACGCACAAUGUGAUAAGAAAACAAAGCAUUGUCAGUGUCGAGUUAAAGUCGCUUCCAACUGUCGAAAGACAAUCAUUUUAUGUCAUUUGACCUCAAAUCAGGUAGGACUACCCGCUGAACUUAA
rnacentral:rRNA from 1 species